rnacentral:lncRNA from 1 species
GGCCAGCAACAUCUUUCUGGCCUUGGACCCCCAGCUGGCAGCCCUCUGCCCCAGCGCCUACCAAGUCCCACAGCAGCACCUCAGCAGUCCGCCUCUCAGGCCACACCAAUGACCCAGGGUCAAGGCCGCCAGUCACGGCCAGUGGCAGGAGGCCCCGGAGCACCUCCAGCAGCCCGCCCGCCGGCCUCCCCAUCUCCACAGCGUCAGGCAGGGCCCCCACAGGCUACCCGUCAGGCAUCUAUCUCUGGUCCAGCUCCACCGAAGGUCUCAGGAGCCUCACCCGGAGGGCAGCAGCGCCAAGGCCCUCCCCAGAAACCCCCAGGCCCUGCUGGUCCCAUUCGUCAGGCCAGCCAGGCAGGUCCCGGACCUCGCACUGGGCCACCCACCACACAGCAGCCCCGGCCCAGCGGCCCAGGUCCUGCUGGACGUCCCACCAAACCACAGCUGGCUCAGAAACCCAGCCAGGAUGUGCCACCACCCAUCAUUGCUGCUGCCGGGGGACCCCCGCACCCCCAGCUCAAAGCCAGCCCCGCCCAGGCCCAGCCUUAGCCAGGAUGAGGUGAAAGCUGAGACCAUCCGCAGCCUGAGGAAGUCUUUCGCCAGCCUCUUCUCCGACUGACACCCUACUCUGAGAACCCCUAAACCCCUAGACAACCCUCUCUGGGUCCUGAGUCCAUUUCUCACCUUUGGAAUCUCCAAAUCCCUUGAGAACCCCUCUCUCCUGGUUCUACAUCCCACUUCUCAUUCCUCAAGAUGUCCCUUGAGAAACGUGGUCCUAAAUCCAGUUCUCACAUUGGGAAUCCCCAAGUCCAUUUAGAAUCCUGUUCCCAGUCACCUCCAGAUCUGUUUUAGAAUCUCCAAAUUCCUGAAGACCUCUACUUCUGAUAUCUCUAAAGGGUGAUUUCCUCCCUGGAAGUUCCUGAAUGGCAGAACCUGUUUCUGACCUAAUACAUCCUCUCCUGGAGCUCUGGAAUUCCUGGAAAACCCUAUUCUACUCUUGGUCCUGAAUCUCUCCAGCACACCUUGCUCCUAAUCAGAAGUUUCAAAUUCCAAAAGAAGCCCCUAUCCUUAAAUCUCUUCCUAGAUUAUCUCUCUGGAGAGCCACCUCUUCAAAUGCCACCUACUAUCCACCAACCAGUCCCUCAAGGACUUCCUUUCACCUCUUCCCUCAACCCCAUUCAACAUACUGGAAGUUCCUUCCACUUCUAGGACCCCUAAGUUCCUUCCUCCAGAAACCUCCUCCCCAAUCUCCUGCCUCUGACAGCUGUCUUUAAAUAUGCAAACUCUACCCAUCCUCUCAGAAUCCUUUGCACAAGGGAGGCCUAAGGUCUCCCACCACUCCCCCACCUUUGCCAAUGUUUGUGUCUGUGACUGACUUGGCCUCCUUUUGUGCCAUGCUAGGCAUAUGUGGUCCUCAUUCGUGCUGCCUGUGGUAAUGUGUACAGUGGCGCUGUUUGUGUGGUCCGCAUCUUCCUCCAACCUCCACUCCUUGCCUGGACUUGCCCCACCCCUCAGUGGCUCUGAACCCCAAGAGAAGAGUCGGGAAGCAAAAUAAACAAGCAAAGGCCCAGCAG